rnacentral:rRNA from 1 species
UACGUAGGUGGCGAGCGUUGUCCGGAUUUACUGGGCGUAAAGGGCGCGUAGGCGGACUUUUAAGUGAGAUGUGAAAUACCCGGGCUCAACUUGGGUGCUGCAUUUCAAACUGGAAGUCUAGAGUGCAGGAGAGGAGAAUGGAAUUCCUAGUGUAGCGGUGAAAUGCGUAGAGAUUAGGAAGAACACCAGUGGCGAAGGCGAUUCUCUGGACUGUAACUGACGCUGAGACGCGAAAGCGUGGGGAGCGAACAGG